CAGAGCGCUGGAGAAAGCGGGAGAACAGGAAAAACCACACUGGUUGACUUGACAAACAAGACGAACUGGCAACAUACAAGCAGGGAACACAGGAAUAAGUACCCAGGCACUAAUGAGGAAAACAGGUGACACCUGGGAGGACAUUUUCAUCCAUUUAUUGCCUGCUCAAAAGCACCCAGGUUGAGAGGUUGAAGACAUAGUGAGAGGUGAGAGGAGGAUAAGAGGAUGAAAGGAACAGAGCAGAAAAAGAGAAAAGAAAACACAGGGCUCAGGGUCUGUGAAGAUCCAGAAGUUUGCAGACAGUGACAUCACACAGCAAAGUCUGCUUAAAGAUGAAGAGCCACCUGUGAGACAAAUGCUUUCAGUAAUUGUUCCAAAAGGAUUGGAUGCAAAACGUCAAUGGUAUCUCUAUGAUGAGAAGGCCUUCACUGCUGAAGAGUGUAGGGACAUCCCCACCCCUUUCCCAUCAGUCCCUAAUCCUGGGAGGAUGGCUUACUUUGAGGACUCUGACUGACUCUGAAAAUAAUUCAGUAACUUCGCACGCACACACACACACACACACACACACUAACAACUUAAAGAACUCAAGUAGAUCUAGGCCUACAGUAAUGUUUAGCAGUUACAUAAUUUAAAUACAAAUCUGAACUGUCAUUAUAAAUUGUAAAUAUAGUAUUAUAAACUGGGUGUGUCAAGCCCUGAAUGCUGAUUGGCUGAAUAUACACUGCUCAAAAAAAUAAAGGGAACACUAAAAUAACACAUCCUAGAUCUGAAUGAAUGAAAUAAUCUUAUUAAAUACUUUUUUCUUUACAUAGUUGAAUAUGCUGACAACAAAAUC